CUGACUAUCAAAUUUAUGUUUCUGAGAAACUGUGUAGUGAAAUUCAGCUAACUGCAUAUUAGUAAACUGCCUUGCUUUCAUGAAUAUAUCCUUAAAAUCUGAAUGAGAAUUUAUUCUAUUUAGAAACUGGUAAAAUGUUGUGCUAUUCUAUUUAGCUUUAGAAUUUUCAUAGAAAUUAAUGUGGUAGAUAUUCUUAUAUCUACUUAGAAAAAAGAUUUCUAGGCAUGAAUAUGGAAAAAAAAUAGUUCAGCUAUUGCAUAGAAAUAUAUAUAUAUAUAUAUAUUUUUAAAAAGACCUGGCGUUUGGGAAGAGAUUCAAAGCAUGCUUUCAACUUUUACAGAUUGAAAAAUUGAAAUCCAGUUGAGAAUAGCUUUGGACUAAUAAGGUUUAAAUGACUAAAGUUUAACGUAGCUCUGAAGGGAAUAUUAAGUAAGUUGUCUUUGUCUCAUAGUUUUUAAUUUUUGUUGUUGCUUUAGCCUGUUGGGUCACAUUUUUUUGUUAGCGUUGAAGGCUGCCAUGAAUUGGUAAUGAGGGCCCCUUUUGCACAUGAUUUUGGCACUUGGCCAGAAUCAACUUCCCAACAGAGAGCUUUCUUUAAAAGAACCUGGAGCAUUUUUUCUUUCUUUUUUGUGAUGAGGAAUUACUCUGAAAGCUGCCAUAACCAGUUGUGUAGGCAUGUCAAAAUGACUUUAUACACGGACAUGAAACAUUCCUUUUCAUUCCAGGUUCUUUUUUCAUGAUUUUUCAAAGGAAUCUACUCCUUUGCAGUAUGUGGAAUCUACCCAAAUGAACAGACUUGUGUAGUGAAGAGACUGAUAUUGUUCAUUUACAUAUGGUCACAAAAUGAUCUAUACUAUCUUUCCUACUUUAUUAUUUUUCUUUGCAAAAUUCAUGUCAAUUAUUUGAAAUGUAUAAACAAGAGUAAUUGUUUUCAA